GAGAGGCUAGCGUGCAGCUAGACUGCGUGGUGGAGAGAGAAGGGCCUGGCUAAGGACAUUUCUGUGUUGCCAUGAAGUGCUGGUGUUGUCAGGACAUGAAAGGGGAAUAUUUGAGACCUGAUCCAGGGUCCCACAUGGCAUUUAACUGUCCUGUCUCCUUAGUGUCCUCCAAUCUCUGACAGAUCCACAGUCUUUGUCUCUCAUGCCCUUGGCACUUUUGAAGAGUCCUUGUCAGAGAGGAAAGGAAAAGAAGAUGGAGACAAUAAGGAAGGGAGUUUCAUGGGGCAAUUGAAGAAUACUCCAGGGGAACUCUGGACCAAGAUGACAAUGUAAGAAUCUCCUGAAUUUUCCUCCUCCGAUGGAGACACUGAAUGUAAAACUACAUACAGAGCAAUUUCCUUUCAGAGAAAUCCAGAAACUAGUUGAGUGACUCCUAUACAUUGGGCGACUGAGAAAAUACCCACAUCAAAACAAGCAGGAAAGGCUGGAAACACUCUCAUCAUAACCCUUACCCCUGGCACAGUGCCAUACAAUUGGGAGGGAAACCCCAACUCCCAGCUUCUCCCUGAAGAGUGAGGCCAGGCUGACUGACGAGGUUCAUCUCCUACACAAGACUGAGUGGCUGUUUUAUCUAAUCUGCAGAAACCAACAUAGAGAGUCAAGGAAAAUGAAGAAACAAGGGAAUAUGUUCCAAACCAAAGAAUACAAUUAAGCCACAGAAAAUGACCUUAAUUAAAUGGAGAUAAGUUAUUUACCUGAUAAAGAUUUCAAAAUAAUGAUCAUAAAGAUGCUUACUGAGGUUAGAGAACAAUGCGUUAACAAAGUGAGAAUUUCAAAAAAGUGAUAGAAAAUAUGAAAAAGUACCAAACAGAAACUGUAGAGUUAAACAAUACAAUAACUGGACUGAAAAAUUCAAUAAAGGCUUUCAACAACAGGCUAGAUCAAGUGGAAGAAAGGAUCAGCGAACUUGAAGACAGGGCAGUGGAAUUCAUCCAAUCAGAGGAGCAAAAAGAAAAAAGAAUGAGAAAGAGUGAGGACAGCUUAAGGGACUUAGGGGACACCAUCAAGUGGACCAAUAUAUGCAUCAUAUAGGGGUCCCAGAAGAAGACAAGAAGAGAAAGGGGCAGAAAGCUUAUUAAAAGAAAUAAUGGUUGAAAACUUCCCUAACCUGGGGAAAUAAACAGACAUCCAGAUCCAGGAAGCCUACUGAGCACCAAAUAUGAUGAAACUAAAGAAGCCACACCAAGAUACAUGUCAUUAAAUUGUCAAAAGUUAAAGACAAAGGGAGACUCUUGAAAGCAGCAAGUGAAAAGCAAUUUGUAAUGUACAAGGGAACGCCCAUAAGACUAUCAGUAGAUUUUUUAGCAGAAACCUUGCAGGCCAGAAGGGAGUUGGAUGAUAGAUUCAAAGAAAAAAAGUGUCAAUCAAGAACAUUCUACCCAACAAAGUUUUUCUUCAGAAUUAAAGAAGAGACGAGGAGCUUUCCAGAAAGCAAAAGCUGAAGGAGUCCAUCACCACUAGACUAGCCUUACAAGAAAUGUUAAAGGUAGUUCUUCAAGCUGAAAUGAAAAGAUGCUAAGUCAUAACAUGAAAACAUAUGAAAGUAUUAAACUCAUUGGUAAAGGUAAAUAUGUAGUUAAAUCCAGAAUACUCUAAUGAUGUAAUGGUGGUGGGUAAAUCACUUACAACUCUUGUAUAAAGGUUAAAAGAGAAAAGUAUUAAAAAUAACGAUAGCUAUAAUAAUUUGUUAGUGGAUACACAAUAUAAAAAGAUAUCAAUUGUGACAUCAAAAGCAUAAAAUGUGGGGAGGAGAGUGUAAAAAUGUAGAGCUUUUUAUGUGUUGAAAAUUAAGCUGUUAUUGGCUUAAUAUAGACUGUUAUAACUAAAAGAUGUUUUAUGUAAACCUUAUGGUAACCACAAAGCAAAAACCUAUAGCAAAUAUACAAAGGAUAAAGAGAAAGGAAUCAAAACCUACUACUAGAGAAAAUCACCAAAUUACAAAGGAAGAGAGGAACAAAGGAACUACAGAACAGCCAGAAAAUAAUUAACAAAAUGUCAAUAGUAAGUCCUAAAAUAAUUUCUUUAAAUGUAUUUGGAUUAAAUUCUCCAAUCAAAAGAGACAGAGUUGCUGAGUGGCUAAAAACACAAGAUCCAACUAUAUGCUGCCUAUAAGAGAUUCCCUUCAGCUUUUGUUUUUUGAGGAAGAUUGGCCCUGAGCUAACAUCUGU